AUGUUGGCAUGAGUAGCGAGAUGUGGGUGAGAAUCCCACAGGCCGUAAACCCAAGGUUUCCAGGGGAAGGUUCGUCCGCCCUGGGUUAGUCGGGACCUAAGCUGAGGCCGAAAGGCGUAGGUGAUGGACAACAGGUUGAUAUUCCUGUACUACCGAUAACCGUUUGAGAGAAGGGAUGACACAGUAGGAUAAGCUAAGCACACUGUUGGUUAUGUGUGCCCAAGCAUUGAGGCAGUCAAAGUAGGCAAAUCCGCUUUGAUAAUGCUGGGAUGUGAUGGGGAGCGAAAUUUAGUAGCGAAGUAGCUGAUUUCACACUGUCAAGAAAAGUCUCUAUCGAGGUUAAAGGUACCCGUACCGC
rnacentral:rRNA from 1 species